rnacentral:rRNA from 1 species
AACAGGAUUAGAUACCCUGGUAGUCCACGCUGUAAACGAUGUCGACUUGGAGGUUGUGCCCCUGAGGCGUGGCUUCCGGAGCUAACGCGUUAAGUCGACCGCCUGGGGAGUACGGCCGCAAGGUUAAAACUCAAAUGAAUUGACGGGGGCCCGCACAAGCGGUGGAGCAUGUGGUUUAAUUCGAUGCAACGCGAAGAACCUUACCUACUCUUGACAUCCAGAGAAUUUGCUAGAGAUAGCUUAGUGCCUUCGGGAACUCUGAGACAGGUGCUGCAUGGCUGUCGUCAGCUCGUGUUGUGAAAUGUUGGGUUAAGUCCCGCAACGAGCGCAACCCUUAUCCUUUGUUGCCAGCGAGUAAUGUCGGGAACUCAAAGGAGACUGCCGGUGAUAAACCGGAGGAAGGUGGGGAUGACGUCAAGUCAUCAUGGCCCUUACGAGUAGGGCUACACACGUGCUACAAUGGCAUAUACAAAGAGAAGCGAACUCGCGAGAGCAAGCGGACCUCAUAAAGUAUGUCGUAGUCCGGAUUGGAGUCUGCAACUCGACUCCAUGAAGUCGGAAUCGCUAGUAAUCGUAGAUCAGAAUGCUACGGUGAAUACGUUCCCGGGCCUUGUACACACCGCCCGUCACACCAUGGGAGUGGGUUGCAAAAGAAGUAGGUAGCUUAACCUUCGGGAGGGCGCUUACCACUUUGUGAUUCAUGACUGGGGUGAAGUCGUAACAAGGUAACC